rnacentral:rRNA from 1 species
UACGUAGGGCGCAAGCGUUGUCCGGAAUUAUUGGGCGUAAAGAGCUCGUAGGCGGUUUGUCGCGUCUGCUGUGAAAACCUAAGGCUCAACCUUGGGCUUGCAGUGGGUACGGGCAGACUAGAGUGCGGUAGGGGUGACUGGAAUUCCUGGUGUAGCGGUGGAAUGCGCAGAUAUCAGGAGGAACACCGAUGGCGAAGGCAGGUCACUGGGCCGCAACUGACGCUGAGGAGCGAAAGCGUGGGGGAGCGAACGGGG